AAUAGCAGCUCAGAGCUCAGAGAAUGCUAUUCUGAGUUGCGGGUUGGCGCUGUUUUGGCAGCACGAGGGGGACCUACACAAUAUUAGGCAGGUGGUUUUAAUGUUGUGGCUGAUCAGUGUAUUAUAUGUAUACUAUUCAACCUUGGUAAGUCUAGCUUAUUUUGAAAAUUGUAAUUUCCACAUCAUAGGAUAUUUGUUUCAGAAAUGAAUUCGUUAACCAUGGACUGCAGAUUAUUCUGGCAUUAUCUUGAUUAUUAAGCAUUAUUGUGAUGUGUUCAUUAAAGUUCACAAGCAAAGCAACGCCUUGUUUUUCCACUUGUUUUCCUCCCUAAAGCUAAUGCAGAAUUUUAAAUACCUUCAGCUCAUUUAUUUCAAGUCAAAUUAGAGCUCACUCCCUGCCUGGCGUAUUGUCAAUAGGAAGCAAGAGGGAUUUUAUAAAGGACAGGUCUCAUAAAAUGGUUUUUAAUUACAAUAGAGAAAGUGUGGCCUUCGUUCAGUGCCCUCCCUACCCACUCCCCAUGUCAUUCUCAGAUGCUUUGAUUUCUGAUAAUGUGCUUUGCUGACUUGGCGUAGCAAGUCUUCUGCAGAAUCCUUAGUCACAUUACCUCUGAGAUUGAGUUUGACAAACUACCAUAUUGAUCCUCUACACUUCUAAGAGCUUUCUGCUGAGCACAUUUAUCAGAGGCCUUGAUUUUCUGGCCUUCCAGAGUUCUCUUUUAGUAGCAAACAGACCGAUGUAAUAAUUUCAUGUAUUACAUUCAAAUCAAUGGACCUUUUGGCACACUGUAAUUCCAAGGGACAGAACAGAUUUGAUUGGGCCAUUGUAUUAUGUGUAAAUGUGCAGUCUGUGGAAUAUUCCUUGUAAAGAUAUUUAAUUAGUGUGAGAACAGAAUGUGGACAAUUUUUUAAUGACCUAAUACUGUCUUUUACAGUUUCUUUGAAAGGUUUUCAUACCUGCCUAUCUAUUUCCACUAUGUGCAGGCAUACAGGCAGCCCCUCUAUUACAUCAUCAAUGAGGGCUCUAAUUGGCCUUAAUAGAAGUCAUUUAGACAUCCAGCAAAAUCUGAUCAGCACUAUUAGCUGGAAUGGCUGGCUCUUACUUUUCAUCUAUGAGUUGAAAUGCUGCAUAGGGACUGCUCAGGGAACCAUGUUCUAAUUGCUCAUUGACUCUUUGACCUUUUCCUCUUCACUGUUACUGUAGCAGGACUGGAGGAGGAGUAGAGUAUCACAGCACAGUGGCAGGCCAGACCUUUGUCUUCUGCAUUUGACAGGGUGAUGUGAGCUCUUAGAAACUCAAGCCGAUGUCACCAUUUCACAGUGUACCUGUUUUUGAACGAAGUGCAGUGCUAAGCCACAGGAGACAGCAUUAGCCUGAGCAGGGUUCUCCAUCAGCAGGGGGAUGUCAGCCACGUUACAGUUUGUGUCAUCUGUGCCAGGUACACAGUCAUGUCAACAGAGAUCCCCAAUCUUUCUGCAAAUGAGCCCUGGCUCGCUGUAAUGGCUUUCUGCUUCUCAUGGGAAGUGCGAGUCGUGUGCCCGACCCAAAAGCUGCUGAUUGAAGAGGAAAAUGUAAUACAGGUGUAAAGCAGACUUGAUGGGGGUCUUAUGCAAGGGUUAUGAAUUUUAACCAUUUUCAUCUACACACUUAUGUACAUACAUAUGGAAUUGGAUCUGAAUGUGCUGGCUGGACUGUUUGCUGCUCCACAGAGACUAAGCCAGGUUUCUGCUGGGCUGUCGCUAAUUCCAGAUGAGAGGAUUGCUAUUAUACUAAAUUAAUAGGAAUUAAGGAGGAUUGAGUUGGUUAAGCAAGCACUUGAUUAAGCCGGGCUGUGAUAGAGGCUUUACACAGUCCACCAGCUUUAUGAAUGAAGGCGUUGCAGGCUAUGACCGAACAGGACAACAGAACUGUGGGCAAGAGUUCAUUUUUCAUGUACAACUGAUAUUAGGAACUACAACUGAAAUAAAAGUAUUUUGUAAUC